rnacentral:rRNA from 1 species
UACGUAGGGGGCUAGCGUUGUCCGGAUUUAUUGGGCGUAAAGAGCGUGUAGGCGGCCAGGUAGGUCUGCUGUGAAAACUCGAGGCUCAACCUCGAGACGCCGGCGGAAACCAUCUGGCUAGAGUCCGGAAGAGGUGAGUGGAACUGCGAGUGUAGAGGUGAAAUUCGUAGAUAUUCGCAAGAACACCAGUGGCGAAGGCGGCUCACUGGUCCGGUACUGACGCUGAGGUGCGAAAGCGUGGGGAGCAAACAGG